rnacentral:rRNA from 1 species
UACAGAGGUCUCAAGCGUUGUUCGGAUUCAUUGGGCGUAAAGGGCGUGUAGGCGGUCUGUUAAGUCUGGCGUGAAAGCUCUCGGCUAAACCGGGAGAGGUCGUUGGAUACUGGCAAGACUAGAGGAUGGUAGAGGCGUGUGGAAUUCCGGGUGUAGUGGUGAAAUGCGUAGAUAUCUGGAGGAACACCGGUGGCGAAGGCGGCGUUCUGGACUGCUACUGACACUGAGGAACGAAAGCCAGGGGAGCAAACGGG